rnacentral:lncRNA from 1 species
UUGGGCCAAAAAGAAUUGGUAAACCAAUAGAAAAGUGCAAAAUGCAAAGAUGAGAAUUUUCAUCUUUCACCUGCAAAUAUGGAAUGUCUGUAUGUCUUGCAUGAACUAAACUUGUGCUGGGCUUUCAGAAAUAGUUACCAUCUAAUUUCCCUGUGCUAUACCAAUUUGCUCAGUAUUUAAAAUGAGAGCUUAGCUGUUCACUGCAGCCAGUAGGGACAGAACCUACCUUCUCAAACAGUUUGUCAGCAAAACUUAAAUCCACACUGCUUUACAAACUUGUAUCAUCCCUGGAAUGAAAGCACUGCCAGCAGUCGAAGAACAGCAGCCAAAUGUGUUUAAUGUGCUUCCCCAUAAGGAGGGCAGGAGCAUUCUGGGCAAGAAAUUUGUGGAAGUGCAUAGCUUGAUUUCUUCUGAAAAGAUGAGGUGAUCCUUUUGUGACCCCGUAGAAAAGUAAUGCUCUUUUCUUCUUGGCUUGUUGAAGGUCUUUGGCCAAAGGCAGCUGCACACCUGCACUGUGAGGGAUGGCCAUGGAUGCUCAGUGCAGCAAUAGCAGGACAGUUUCUCUUCUUAGGGAUACUCAAUGACAGAAAAUGAAUCAGAAGAAAGAACUUCAGAAGAGCUGGGAAGGAUAGGAGAGAAAAAUGAAGUGAACUUUAAGAUACUGCAUCCAAGUUCCUGUCAUGAGAUCCUCAGCCUGGAAAAAUGCAAGUCCCAGAGUUAUGAGUAACCACAUAUUUGCCUCUGAGUGCCUGGUGGGCUGGCUGAAGAGAGGUAACUGAGUUGCUUUUAUUUUUCUCUGUCUUGAAAUUCUAACUUUUGUAGUUUACUGAAACAGGAUAGCCAUUGCUAGCUGGAGCCAGCUAGUGAACUCAACAUAUAUUUGCAAAUUCUUUGGAAUAAUAAAAGCUGUAUUCAUUGGUGAGUUUGCUACUUG